AGGCGAAGGAGGUGGAUCAAAAAAAUAAAAAAUCGAUUUUUGUGAAAUUUUUUGGAAAGUUCUUGGAAAGUUCUUAAAAAGUUGUUCUACGCGAGUGCAAGAUGUGCAAGUGCAUUGCAGGAACUUGUGUAUGCUGCUGCUGUCAGUGCGCGAUGAGUAUUUUCAUCUCCCUGCUUUUUGUCGGAAUACUAAUUGCCGUGGCCGUGGCUCUCGGUAUCUACUUCGGGCUCUUGAACGUCGAUGAUACCGCACCGGGAUUCUCCGAUUUGGUCCACAAAACGGGAGAUUCUAUAAAGGACAGCAUCCAGAAGAAGUUGGACUAGGCGGAAGCGCUUCCAAGCAUGAACAUCGGCCACAUAUUUUUACAUCACAUGCACUUUAAUCAAUCGCCAAUGUUCCUAUUUACUCGCAUUUACCUAAAGUUAAUCACGAAUCUCCCCCUCGGUGUGCGCUGCCGCCUGCCAAAGCAUGCCCCAGCCCAGGCUGUUGCAAAUUCAAGUGCUUCGUACAAAUUUAAGUGCUUUAAUCGUCGUAUAUACAUGAGAGUAAACGAAUCUCAAGCGCAACUUACAUUAAUCAGGACCCAGGCAGCCCCACGAUACUGACGACCAGCAGCGAAUGCUGCAUCCUAUUUGCUAUUGCCAUCGCAGUGGCCAUCUACUACGGUUUUAUUCACGUCGACGAGUCUACCUCCGAUGCUAUCAAAGAUGCUGGGUCCAAGAUAAAACACAGCAUCAAAGAUGGGUUGAAAAAGUUAGACGAUUAGCUAUAUACCAGCGACCCAAACAACGCUUUACAACGCAGAAUCUCAUAAAGCAGCUUGAAUUGAUCCACCUAUUUCAUCCAGCUACACAGCGAAUUGCAGCAUUGGCGUUCUCAAUUGACCUCAAGGUGCGCAUUGGCGCCAGCGAAAGAUUUUUACAAUAUACAAAUAUUAUAAUACCCUUUUUCGUCCAUAUUGAAAUACAAGAGUAAAAUGUAAAAUGAUUUCCGGGUGGUUCAAUCAGAGUACGCAUGAUUUUCGAGAAAGAGGUAACAGGCGACGGCAAUGGAGUCUCUGCUGUGCUUUUUCACGACUUU